GAUGAACGCUGGCGGCGUGCUAAUACAUGCAAGUCGAACGAAGUUCUGAUUAUUGAAAGGUGCUUGCAUCUUGAUUUAAUUUUGAACGAGUGGCGGACGGGUGAGUAACACGUGGGUAACCUGCCCUUAAGUGGGGGAUAACAUUUGGAAACAGAUGCUAAUACCGCAUAAAUCCAAAAACCGCAUGGUUCUUGGCUGAAAGAUGGCGUAAGCUAUCGCUUUUGGAUGGACCCGCGGCGUAUUAGCUAGUUGGUGAGGUAACGGCUCACCAAGGCAAUGAUACGUAGCCGAACUGAGAGGUUGAUCGGCCACAUUGGGACUGAGACACGGCCCAAACUCCUACGGGAGGCAGCAGUAGGGAAUCUUCCACAAUGGACGCAAGUCUGAUGGAGCAACGCCGCGUGAGUGAAGAAGGCUUUCGGGUCGUAAAACUCUGUUGUUGGAGAAGAAUGGUCGGCAGAGUAACUGUUGUCGGCGUGACGGUAUCCAACCAGAAAGCCACGGCUAACUACGUGCCAGCAGCCGCGGUAAUACGUAGGUGGCAAGCGUUAUCCGGAUUUAUUGGGCGUAAAGCGAGCGCAGGCGGUUUUUUAAGUCUGAUGUGAAAGCCCUCGGCUUAACCGAGGAAGUGCAUCGGAAACUGGGAAACUUGAGUGCAGAAGAGGACAGUGGAACUCCAUGUGUAGCGGUGAAAUGCGUAGAUAUAUGGAAGAACACCAGUGGCGAAGGCGGCUGUCUGGUCUGU
rnacentral:rRNA from 1 species